AUGCUCAGUAACGGCGAGUGAGCGGCAAGAGCUCAAAUUUGAAAUCUGGCCCCUCCGGGGUCCGAGUUGUAAUUUGCAGAGGAUGCUUCGGGUGCGGCCCCUGUCUAAGUGCCCUGGAACGGGCCGUCAGAGAGGGUGAGAAUCCCGUCUUGGGCAGGGUGCCCGUGCCCGUGUGAAGCUCCUUCGACGAGUCGAGUUGUUUGGGAAUGCAGCUCAAAAUGGGUGGUAAAUUUCAUCUAAAGCUAAAUACCGGCCGGAGACCGAUAGCGCACAAGUAGAGUGAUCGAAAGAUGAAAAGCACUUUGAAAAGAGAGUUAAACAGCACGUGAAAUUGUUGAAAGGGAAGCGCUUGCAACCAGACUCGGCCUCGGGGUUCAGCCAGCAUUCGUGCUGGUGUACUUCCCCGGGGCCGGGCCAGCGUCGGUUUGGGCGGCCGGUCAAAGGCCCCAGGAAUGUAUCGUCCUCCGGGACGUCUUAUAGCCUGGGGUGCAAUGCGGCCAGCCUGGACCGAGGAACGCGCUUCGGCACGGACGCUGGCGUAAUGGUCGCAAACGACCCGUCUUGAA
rnacentral:rRNA from 1 species